AUUGAACGCUGGCGGCAGGCCUAACACAUGCAAGUCGAGCGAGUGGCGGACGGGUGAGUAAUGUAUGGGAAUCUGCCUGAUGGAGGGGGAUAACUACUGGAAACGGUAGCUAAUACCGCAUACCAUCAUCUUAACCCAUGUGGGAUUAGCUGGUAGGUGAGGUAACGGCUAACCUAGGCGACGAUCCCCAGCUGAUCUGAGAGGGUGAACAGCCACACUGGGACUGAGACACGGCCCAGACUCCUACGGGAGGCAGCAGUAGGGAAUCUUGCACAAUGGGCGCAAGCCUGACGGAGCAAUGCCGCGUGAGUGAAGAAGGCCUUCGGAUUGUAAAGUUCUGUUAUUAGGGAAGCGGUACCUAAAGAGAAAGCAACGGCUAACUACGUGCCAGCAGCCGCGGUAAUAC
rnacentral:rRNA from 1 species